GCUGAACCUUUGACAACAAAGGAGUGACGAUAGAAAAGGUGCUGCUUACUUGUGGUUAUUUGAGGAUCCACAAGAUAAUCUACUGAAGAGUUUCACAACCCAUGGUUGUGAUGCUAUUUGAACACCUACCCAGAAUUCAACAGAAAGGGAUAAAAAAGCAGAAGGAAUCAGACCGCAGUAAGUAAGGCUGCCCACCCUGAGAACACUGUUCCAGAGAGUUCUGCCACUCACCCAAUGCUCACAGACACAGGAACAUGAGUCAUCAAUGAGACACUGUUACCACCCGCCUUUCUCCCCCAAGCCUCCCUAAAAAAAAGGAGGAAAUGGCCUCUGACAUUGGGAUGUAUGAACAAGAGUUCCACACACGGCAGAAAGCAUGAGAACUUCUGCCACAGACUUCCGCACUGGUUAUAGGAUGCUGGCCUCAUGUUUGGUUUUCAAACCUCAAAUCUAAAGAAAAUGUCACUUGAAGUAUGAUUUGUUGUGAGCAAUAUAAAGGCUGAUUCAGAAGGAAAAACAAAGCCCAAAUAGAACUACUGUUAUAUGACUUCUAUGAUUUUUUAAAUAAUUAUAAUUUUUAAAAGGGAUAUUUGGCCAUUGAAAGAAGGAAAAUGAAAAGAGCUAUAAUUGCCUUUAAAGCGCAUAAAGUAAUAUUAUGGAAGAAAAAAGUUCAAUUCACCACAUUGGUCAAUAAAGCUGGAAUGAGAUGAAUUAAGCUUGUUCAAAGAAAAGUUUGAUUGAAGAUUACAAAAAACUCUAAUUAUGAGGAAAGGAAAGACGAUUCUUAGGCAAAUCUGAUAAAGGAGGUUACAAACUUGCGAAUCCUGUGGAUUGAAAUGAGAAACCCAACAAUUAGAGAUGGUUAGGACAAAACAACAUCAUUCCUGGGGGCUGGCCCCAUGGCCGAGUGGUUAAGUUUGCGCGUUCCGCUGCAGGCUGGCCAGUGUUUGGUUGGUUUGAAUCCUGGGAACGGACAUGGCACUGCUCAUCAAACCACGCUGAGGCAGCGUCCCACAUGCCACAACUAGAAGGACCCACAAUGAAGAAUAUGCAACUAUGUACUGGGGGGCUUUGGGGAGAAGAAGGAAAAAAAUAAAAUCUUUAAAAAAAAAAAUCAUUCCUAAAAUGAAUAGGCUUCAUUCCCUGGUAAAAAGGACCUAGAGCCAGCUUUAAAAUCUCUAGCCAUGUUCUUCCCAGACAUUUCAGAACCGUGUGAGUGAAUAUGAGCGGCAAGACUAGCCCUCAACUUACUCCGCUCUAUCUGUAACUCAUCAGAGAAAAGGAUCCUGAAGCUUGUCUUCUCCAAGCGUUGAUCCCCAGGAUGCCAAACGAGAUAUGCUAAUAAUUUGUUCAACAUCUAGAAAGUCAUCCUGGGAAAAAUAUGAUUUUAAGCAAAUUGCAAAUAGAAAGGACUAGAAAUGAUUAGAGACUCAGUCUAUAACUAUAAAACCCAUCUGUGGUUAAAAACUAUUUUUCUGUUUCCUUUCAUUCCACCAGCAAUCUAGAAAGAAUUCAUUUUUAUUUGUUAUUCAGAAAACGUUAGCAUUAGGAAUUGAUACACUGAAGCACGUUGCUUUUUCUGGUCCUCUCUGCUGAUGGGAGAGGACAGGCUACACACCCUGCAAGGAGGACGCCUCCAAACCUUGAGCUGAUAUGCACCAGCUCCUGGCCAACAGCCGUUCUGUGCAACCACAUCUCCUGCUUCCAGGACCUGCCAUUCCCAUCUCUCUUGCUGAAGAAAAGCACACUUUUCUGGAAUUGGCUGUAAACUGGCAUUUGUCCUACUUGUGUCCUAUAGAAUGAGAAAACCUGUUUCAGAGAACAAGAAGUAAAUUCUCCCAAAACAAACUCUUUAAAGUAAGCAGUGUGUGUGCCUUGGUUAUAGACCACAAACCAUGAAAGGGCAUAUCCAUGCGUGAAUUGGCAGUUCACUGGGUCUUGUAAUUCUCACCAGGGAGGCAGGCUAAGCAAACCAAUUAACUAAUUAAACCAAUUAACCAAAUGUGUAAUUAACCUUGAGAACAGAGAUGUCAACAGAAGCACAAUAAAGAAUUUACCCACCUCUUGAAAUUGCUUGGUGGUUUUAAGCCUUUUAAUUUUCUGUCUUAAAGGCAUAUUCACAAAGUGAAAAUAUUCUCUGGGCAUAGGAUUAGUGGCCAAGCAAUGUCUUCAUAUAGAUGGGAUGGAAUCAAGCCCAGAGCAGUGCUUCCCAUCUCAGCUACAGUCCACUAUCCGUAAGUAAAUACACAGGAAUUUUGGAGAACAUCGUCCACAAAACAU
rnacentral:lncRNA from 1 species